UGCAGUCGCACGAGAAGGGGAGCAAUCCCUGAGUAAAGUGGCGCACGGGUGAGUAACACGUGAAUCAUCUACCUCCGAGUGGGGAAUAACCUAGAGAAAUCUGGGCUAAUACCGCAUAACACUUACGAGUCAAAGCAGCAAUGCGCUUGGAGAGGAGUUCGCGGCAGAUUAGUUAGUUGGCAGGGUAAUGGCCUACCAAGACGAUGAUCUGUAUCCGGCCUGAGAGGGCGCACGGACACACUGGAACUGAAACACGGUCCAGACUCCUACGGGAGGCAGCAGUGGGGAAUUUUGCGCAAUGGGGGAAACCCUGACGCAGCAACGCCGCGUGGAGGAUGAAAUCCCUUGGGAUGUAAACUCCUUUCGAUAGGGAAGAUAAUGACGGUACCUAUAGAAGAAGCCCCGGCUAACUUCGUGCCAGCAGCCGCGGUAAUACGAGGGGGGCAAGCGUUGUUCGGAUUUAUUGGGCGUAAAGGGUGCGUAGGCGGUUUGACAAGUCUUAUGUGAAAUCUUCGGGCUCAACCCGAAGCCUGCAUAAGAAACUGUCGGGCUUGAGUAUGGGAGAGGUGAGUGGAAUUUCCGGUGUAGCGGUGAAAUGCGUAGAUAUCGGAAGGAACACCUGUGGCGAAAGCGGCUCACUGGACCAUAACUGACGCUGAGGCACGAAAGCUAGGGGAGCAAACAGGAUUAGAUACCCUGGUAGUCCUAGCCCUAAACGAUGAUUGCUUGAUGUGGCAGGUACCCAAUCCUGCCGUGUCGAAGCUAACGCGAUAAGCAUCCGCUGGGGAGUACGGUCGCAUGCUGAAACUCAA
rnacentral:rRNA from 1 species